ACAACUUCCGGGCGGGGCGGCGGGGCGGUGCUACGUCGGUGAGCUGGAGAGGCACCUCCUAACUGCUUCCACCAGGUUCCAGUUGCUAGCAUGAUGCCAUCCAGACUUCCCUGGACAGACAACCCCACCAAUGUGUCCUGGAGCUCCCAUUCCCCAGAACCCCACCCCACUAGGGAAAGAAAGAGGCAGGCUGGGAGUAUGGAUCAACCUGUCAACACCCAUGUUCAGCGGGGAAGCAAUUACAGAAGCCAGACCUCCCACCUUCUGCACCCAGUAAUGACCCUGGGUCCAUACUGUCAGAGGGUUGCCCCAGCUGCUCUUCAGGAUUAACUGGCCAUGAAGAACCAUGGAUAUAGUCCUUCUGUAUAUAGCAAGGUGAGUCUGUCUCCAUAGUUUUUAGAACUUUCUUGCCAUGUGGAAUGCCUGGACUUUGAUUUUAGUUUUCUUCCAACCUUCAGAGAAUGCUCUAGAACUAAAGCUUUGGUUCUUUAAGUCUUCAGCUGUGUUUCAGCUCUUCUUUUUGUGUUGGUGGUAUUUCCUUUCUUUCAAGAAGACAUGAUACAGGAGUAUGACUCAGCUGACCCUAAGCUUAGCAAUUUGAAUGUGGGUGCACUUGUAUAUGGGUAUGUGAGGCUUGUGAGGAAAGAGAAAGAUAUUUGACCUUC